UACGUAGGGAGCAAGCGUUGUUCGGAUUUACUGGGCGUAAAGGGCGCGUAGGCGGCGCUGUAAGUCACUUGUGAAAUCUCUGAGCUUAACUCAGAACGGCCAAGUGAUACUGCAGUGCUAGAGUGCAGAAGGGGCAAUCGGAAUUCUUGGUGUAGCGGUGAAAUGCGUAGAUAUCAAGAGGAACACCUGAGGUGAAGACGGGUUGCUGGGCUGACACUGACGCUGAGGCGCGAAAGCCAGGGGAGCAAACGGG
rnacentral:rRNA from 1 species